rnacentral:rRNA from 2 species
ACGGGAGGCAGCAGUGGGGAAUAUUGCACAAUGGGCGAAAGCCUGAUGCAGCGACGCCGCGUGAGUGAUGAAGUAUUUCGGUAUGUAAAACUCUAUCAGCAGGGAAGAAAAUGACGGUACCUGACUAAGAAGCACCGGCUAAAUACGUGCCAGCAGCCGCGGUAAUACGUAUGGUGCAAGCGUUAUCCGGAUUUACUGGGUGUAAAGGGAGCGCAGGCGGCGUGGCAAGUCUGAUGUGAAAGCCCGGGGCUCAACCCCGGUACUGCAUUGGAAACUGUCAUGCUAGAGUGUCGGAGGGGUAAGCGGAAUUCCUAGUGUAGCGGUGAAAUGCGUAGAUAUUAGGAGGAACACCGGUGGCGAAGGCGGCUUACUGGACGAUGACUGACGCUGAGGCUCGAAAGCGUGGGGAGCAAACAGGAUUAGAUACCCUGGUA